UUUAAUGAGAGUUUGAUCCUGGCUCAGGACGAACGCUGGCGGCGUGCCUAAUACAUGCAAGUAGAACGCUGAAGAGAGGAGCUUGCUCUUCUUGGAUGAGUUGCGAACGGGUGAGUAACGCGUAGGUAACCUGCCUUGUAGCGGGGGAUAACUAUUGGAAACGAUAGCUAAUACCGCAUAACAAUGGAUGACACAUGUCAUUUAUUUGAAAGGGGCAAUUGCUCCACUACAAGAUGGACCUGCGUUGUAUUAGCUAGUAGGUGAGGUAACGGCUCACCUAGGCGACGAUACAUAGCCGACCUGAGAGGGUGAUCGGCCACACUGGGACUGAGACACGGCCCAGACUCCUACGGGAGGCAGCAGUAGGGAAUCUUCGGCAAUGGGGGCAACCCUGACCGAGCAACGCCGCGUGAGUGAAGAAGGUUUUCGGAUCGUAAAGCUCUGUUGUAAGUCAAGAACGAGUGUGAGAGUGGAAAGUUCACACUGUGACGGUAGCUUACCAGAAAGGGACGGCUAACUACGUGCCAGCAGCCGCGGUAAUACGUAGGUCCCGAGCGUUGUCCGGAUUUAUUGGGCGUAAAGCGAGCGCAGGCGGUUUGAUAAGUCUGAAGUUAAAGGCUGUGGCUCAACCAUAGUUCGCUUUGGAAACUGUCAAACUUGAGUGCAGAAGGGGAGAGUGGAAUUCCAUGUGUAGCGGUGAAAUGCGUAGAUAUAUGGAGGAACACCGGUGGCGAAAGCGGCUCUCUGGUCUGUAACUGACGCUGAGGCUCGAAAGCGUGGGGAGCGAACAGGAUUAGAUACCCUGGUAGUCCACGCCGUAAACGAUGAGUGCUAGGUGUUGGAUCCUUUCCGGGAUUCAGUGCCGCAGCUAACGCAUUAAGCACUCCGCCUGGGGAGUACGACCGCAAGGUUGAAGGUUGAAACUCAAAGGAAUUGACGGGGGCCCGCACAAGCGGUGGAGCAUGUGGUUUAAUUCGAAGCAACGCGAAGAACCUUACCAGGUCUUGACAUCCCGAUGCUAUUUCUAGAGAUAGAAAGUUACUUCGGUACAUCGGUGACAGGUGGUGCAUGGUUGUCGUCAGCUCGUGUCGUGAGAUGUUGGGUUAAGUCCCGCAACGAGCGCAACCCCUAUUGUUAGUUGCCAUCAUUCAGUUGGGCACUCUAGCGAGACUGCCGGUAAUAAACCGGAGGAAGGUGGGGAUGACGUCAAAUCAUCAUGCCCCUUAUGACCUGGGCUACACACGUGCUACAAUGGUUGGUACAACGAGUUGCGAGUCGGUGACGGCAAGCUAAUCUCUUAAAGCCAAUCUCAGUUCGGAUUGUAGGCUGCAACUCGCCUACAUGAAGUCGGAAUCGCUAGUAAUCGCGGAUCAGCACGCCGCGGUGAAUACGUUCCCGGGCCUUGUACACACCGCCCGUCACACCACGAGAGUUUGUAACACCCGAAUUGGAGCCAGCCGCCUAAGGUGGGAUAGAUGAUUGGGGUGAAGUCGUAACAAGGUAGCCGUAUCGGAAGGUGCGGCUGGAUCACCUCCUUU
rnacentral:rRNA from 1 species